GCCGGGCAUGGUGGUGCAUGCCUGUAGUCCUAGCUAUUCAGGAGGCUGAGGCAGGAGAAUCGCUUGAACCCAGGAGGCGGAGGCUGCAGUGAGCCGAGAUCACGGCACUGCACUCCCGCCUGGGUGACAGAGCAAGACUCUGUCUCGA
ensembl:misc_RNA Metazoa_SRP Metazoan signal recognition particle RNA